CCAAACAAAUGUUCUGGGGGGCCGUUAAGCAGAACAAAAUUCUUUGCGAGAGCACGUGCCAGCUUUAUUACAAUGCACGGCACACUCUGAGAGCUUUUGGCACGCACUGGAGCACAAUGAAUUCUGGAGCUCUGGGGACAAAGAACGCUGCUAAUUUGUGCAGCCACUGCCUGAGAGCCUGGGAGCUGGGCGGGGAGCUUGGAGGACACUCCUCUAAGAAAGGAUGUUAGAGAAUCGGCGUAGAUGGGUUUGCCAGGCAUAGGAAGGGGAAAGACCCAUCUGGGGUGAUAUUCCGGUUUCUGCUGACCCAUGGGCCUGAUGUCAGGAUAUCUUGUCCCACCCCAUAUAGCUCAAAUCUGUACCUUCCCCGCUGGAAACUCGCCUCUCUAAGCCACACAGCUGCUACCACUGACCUUCUGAGAGGAAGGCAACGUACGCUAAUAUUUAUAGAGGAAACCAGGAAGUGAGGAGGCACAGCCUGGGCUUCCUGAUGGGGUUGUUGACUCAUAGUGCCAUACUUCCAGCGAUUUCCUUCAUUUCUUUGUACCUCAGUUUCUUAGCAAAUCAUGAAGGAUGAAAAUGGAAUCCCCUAGAGGUACAGGGAAUACCUAAUUGGCAUUUAUGGGGUUUUUUUUUUUUGUUUUUGUUUUGUUUUUGAGAUAACAACAUAGAUAGCUUCCUUACAUGAAAGAUUGCUUCUUUAUGUUCAUCUCCCCAGCAUAGGACUGAAGAAAUACUAUUUGAGGUCCUGUGUGGGAUACAGCACUACUUCAGCUCGUCCACAGCAGCUGACUAUGAUUUGUCUCAUGCUCUGGCAGGGAUUCUGCCAGCUGAAGAUAGUUUGUGUUUGGAAUUCUGGGGACUCUUGAGAGGGUUUAAAAAUGGCAGAGCCCUGAGAGGCUGCUGCGACUGCUUCUCCCUGAGCUGCUGCUGGUUCCUGUCACUGUGGUUUGUCAAGUAGUCCUGGGUAAAGAGAUGAGAAGAAGAAAUUAGAUAUCCUGAUGGUGAAGAUUGGGCUUGCCUCAAGGAACUCACGGCUCCUAAUCAGCAGGAAGGAAUCGGAAGAGAUCUAGGCCCCUUUCCUCCUCUAACCUUCUUUCUCUCCUGCCUAGUGAUGGGUGGGUGGGAAGGGUUGGGAGGUAGAUAAAGGAAUCUAAUAAAGUAACCAAAAAGUAUGCACACACUGAAUAUUCUCCAGUCCUCGAAAACUCUCUUUUGCAAAGAUCUCAUUCAUCAUCAAGGCUUCACAUGGGAACUCCGAGUGCUUGGAAUGGAUUCCACGCCUCUCUGCAGACUACACCUUUCCUUCCAGUUUUGGAAGCUAAACCUUCUACUCCACGUAGCAUAUAGAAAUUUCAACUCAAGUGAUCCAAGUAAUCUAAUACACACUUGGAUGGGGCAGUCCAUGCCUGUCAUCCUCCCACUGAGACUGAGGGAAGAGGACCACAAGUUUGAGAGUAGCCCAGGCUACUCAUUUCAAAAAGCCAUAAAUAAAUAACACACAUGAUGUAACACA